rnacentral:tRNA from 3 species
GCAUCCGUAGUUCAAAGGAUAGAAUGAGGGCCUCCGAAGCUCUUGAUACAGGUUCAAUUCCUGUCGGAUGCGCCA